GUACUCCCUUUGGCAGCACACAUACUAAAAUUGGAAUGAUACAGAGAAGCAUGGCCCCUGCACAAGGAUGAUAAGCAGAUUUGUGAAGCAUUCCAUAUUUUU
rnacentral:snRNA from 1 species